ACAGUAGAGUGGCAGGACAGUGCUGCAAACAAACUUCCUGCUGAGGAGCCACAGGUCUCAGAAAGAGGAGGCAGCUUCUACAUCAUCCUCCAAACUACUGUGAAGAAGACCGACCGCUAUCGCUGUGUAGCCACACAGGAGGAGAUCAAACAUCGAUUUAUACUGAGACCUACGUGUUUAUCUGUGAGAAACUGUUUGAGGACACGAGCAGCAGAGGGGACGUCACAGGAUGGUUUUUUAGUGGAUUAUCUUUAGGAGCUCUACCUCUGGCAGUUCUAUCUUCACUUGUAGCUACAAAGUUCAUCACAGUACGCUGUAAUAAAGGAGCAGCUGAAGAGAGACCG